rnacentral:tRNA from 1 species
GCACCGCUGGUCCAACUGUAGGACGCGAGCCUUCCAAGGUCGGUGGUGCCGGUUUCAAUCCGGCGGGGCGCU